rnacentral:siRNA from 1 species
UAUUUGGAUUAUUCUUUAGCGC